UUUAUAACACACAUACACAUUAUUAUACCAAAGUUGACAGCUUCAUUGCAAAUACUAAAACAUAGUGCUGAGCCACAACACUUGGAAUAAUUCCUUACAGAAAUCACCACAGCAUACUAUAUAACAACGUUUACAUAAAUAAAUAGAAGAAUGUACUAUUAUUGACUCUAUUUCAUAUCAUAUAUCUGAAGUAGUAUUUGUUGAGAAUCAAAACUGAACA
rnacentral:lncRNA from 1 species